rnacentral:rRNA from 1 species
CCUACGGGGUGCAGCAGUGGGGAAUAUUGGGCAAUGGGCGCAAGCCUGAUCCAGCAACGCCGCGUGAAGGAAGAAGGCUUUCGGGUUGUAAACUUCUAUUGUCAGGGACGAAGGAAGUGACGGUACCUGACGAAUAAGCCACGGCUAACUACGUGCCAGCAGCCGCGGUAAUACGUAGGUGGCAAGCGUUAUCCGGAUUUACUGGGUGUAAAGGGUGAGUAGGCGGGAAUGCAAGUCAGAUGUGAAAACUAUGGGCUCAACCCAUAGCUUGCAUUUGAAACUGUAUAUCUUGAGUGCUGGAGAGGCAAGCGGAAUUCCGAGUGUAGCGGUGAAAUGCGUAGAUAUACGGAGGAACACCAGUGGCGAAGGCGGAUUUCUGGACAGUAACUGACGCUGAGGCACGAAAGCGUGGGGAGCGAACAGGAUUAGAUACCCGAGUAGUC